CCCGCCUAUUUAUAUUAAAUUUAGAAUUUUUUUGAACUUAGAUUAAGAUGAUUUAUGCCGGAGAAAUGAAAACGAGUUUAUUCCAACAAAAUUAUUUUCAAAAGCUUUUAUAAAAUUUAGUCUUUUGAAUUUAUGUGCAUUGCAUAAAUUGAAUUAUAUGAAUGUGAUUAAUUCUAUAUGCUAAUAUUAUUUUUAAUACUACAUGAUUUAAUUUAAGUCUAAGUUAGGCUUUAAUUAUUUUGAAUGUGUUGAGCCUCGACAAAUAUUAUUUUGGGCCCUAGUCUUAAUUAAGCCUUCCUUGUUAAUAAUUAAGCCCAAAAAGAGAAGCCCAACCCACGCUUCCUAGCUGCCAAGUACAGCACCUCCAUUUUUACUCCUUCACCCAUCUCAACCAUGCGCCCACUCUUUUGCACGCUUCCUACCAUUUUUGACUCCUUCACCCAUGCUUCCUAUCAGCCACCCCACUCCAUCUCAUGUCAACCCAAUCAACUUCAAAAGUCAAGAUUUAGUCAUGCUUGGCAGCCACCAACUCCCCUAAUUUCAGCCCUCAAAUAUCUCUGCAUAAUUGAAGGAAACCCAUCCUUUGCACUUUCACUAGCAACUCAAAUAUCCUUCAAAUUACUCUCUCGUUCCAGCCUAUCCAUGGAGUUUCAAGUAUACAACAAGAGACCACCAUUCAAAGAACUCUUCCCCUACACAGACAUCACAAGGCUUUGUGACCAGGGGGAUUAGCGCUGCUUUCCCAAGACAGGUUUUUAUGUGUAUGAUCUUCAGGCUUUGCCUAUCCAGGUGGGCUUACUUUCCAAAUGUAUAAAGUAUGAUUGAGUUAUUAAGCUCUAAAUGUUUCAAUGAAAUGCAAAUUGUUUAUUCUAUUAAAUGCAAACUGUUUAUCCAAUAAAAUAUUUUGUGCACUCUGCUCCGUUUAAGGCUCGCAACAAUGAAUCGAUCGAGGUUCUCUCUUGACCUAACACGUUAUUUGAGAAUUGUGUACACCUAUUAGCUGACCUGGUGGGUUGAUCUCCAUCGGGCACUAAUCAUGUAUGAGGCGUUAUAAGGGUGCUCGAUGGGAUGUGUUCCGGAGCAUUGGGUCCCUAAUGGGAACUUGGCUGGGUUACGCCCUCAGUCCAAGUAAAGCAGGAGUAAUGGAUCCGUCGGUGGCUAAAAGGUCCGGGAUCACAGCGAGUAACGGAAAGGGAGUGUGACAUGUGCGCACAAAUGAAAGAAAAUAUUUUAACAUGCUUAGAAGUUAUUUCAUUUUAAAACCUUCUAAGUUAUGUAAAUUAUGAUUGGAUAAACUGCCUUUAAGAAAAUAUGAAAUGUUUAUGAAAAUGCAUGCCCACUAAGUACAUUAGUACUUAGCCCAAAAAUACUUUCAAAUGUUUUCAGGUUGGCUGGCCGGUGCUGACGGGACGGAGCUGAGACUAGAGAUAAAUUCCUAUGUUAGACUUCCGCUGUAGCAAUUACUCUUAUACAUCUUUUGUUUUCUCAACUUAAGAUGACUUCAUUUGAGCUUCAAUUUAAAAUUUAUAGUUUUAUGUUAAUGAACGUCGGUUGUCAGAAGCAUGAAACAAAACUUGUGAUCCAAAGGGGCCUAGCCUGACUUUCUAUCCUAUUUCGGGUUUUAACAAGGUAUUUCCCUUGUUUAUUUCUAUGAAUUAUUCACACCUCGAUUAUAUUUA